UACCAGCACCCCGAGUGGUCGGGACGUUUUAUUGGGCCUAAAGCAUCCGUAGCCGGUUCUACAAGUCUUCCGUUAAAUCCAUCUGCUUAACAGAUGGGCUGCGGAAGAUACUAUAGAGCUAGGAGGCGGGAGAGGCAAGCGGUACUCGAUGGGUAGGGGUAAAAUCCGUUGAUCCAUUGAAGACCACCAGUGGCGAAGGCGGCUUGCCAGAACGCGCUCGACGGUGAGGGAUGAAAGCUGGGGGGAGCAACCGGG
rnacentral:rRNA from 1 species